UACGAGAUUGUCUGACUGCACAUAAAUCAGAAUUAAAGACGGACAUUUUUGCCUGGUUCUUUUUCCAGAGUGGCGAUGCCUUGCAUGUUGUUUGGGCAUGUUUGCACUUAACCCAGACGUGCUGGCAGGCCACGUGGGCAGAAGAGCAGAAGUACUUCUGGGUUUGCCAGUAUAAAAAGAACCACCUCAAAUCCAGUUGGGGAGCCAGAGUUGGGCGGGAAAUGAUGAAGAAUAAAGAUGACACCAAUGAUCUUAACUUAACCUCAGUAGGGAAACACAAACACAUCACAACAAAACCCACAAGUGUCAACAACAAGUCGCCCAAAUCUCCCAGCUUUUAUGGACAGUAAAGACGGAGUUUAAAGUUUAAGCUCUACAGUGUGUUCCAUUUAGAGAAAUGAGAACUGGGGAUCACCACUCUGGUCUGCUUCUCCAGGGACACAGCUCCCGAUGACCACACAGCAUUGAAAAGGCGUGCCAGACAGGCAGCCCAACAAUGUCCAGAGCAUCUCUGGCUGUAUCUCAUCCAUCCUUGGGGACAUGACACAGUGAAGUUGCUUAAAUACCUCAGUGACCUCCCUCGGGAAAGUGAGGAUUGGCUCUGUCUUCUCUGCAGACGGCAUGUCUUUAAGGUUCAGGAGCUCCUCAAAGUGUUCCUUCCACUCCCAGGCUACAUCAUUGGUACGGGUCAGCAUUUCUCCACUUGGGUGAGGACCGCCUUCCCCUUCUAAGUCACUUGAUCACUAGUCACUUUUCAUGGUCUUUCUGAAGCUGC